rnacentral:rRNA from 1 species
AGCAGCCGCGGUAAUUCCAGCUCCAAUAGCGUAUAUUAAAGUUGUUGUGGUUAAAAAGCUCGUAGUUGACCAUUUGGCCUGGCUGGCAGGUCCGCCUCACCGCGUGCACUUGUCCGGCCGGGCCUUUCUUUCUGGAGAACCGCAUGCCCUUCACUGGGCGUGUUGGGGACCAGGACUUUUACUUUGAAAAAAU